AACCUAGUCCUUGUGUAGGUAGGAAUAAUAUCUGCUAAUUACAAAGACCAAAAUGAUGUUAUAAAUAGUCCAGCGAUUCAAUGCAACCAUCAAGUUUGGGUUUUUAGGUGUUAGUUACAAGAGGAGUUUUAUCAAUGGCAUCAAUGAAAGCUGAAAGACCUGUUGGCUCUCAACUGUUUGGGUCACUCAAGAAAGAGCCUGCUAAGGCUACUCCAGGUACAAGUACAACCAAGGCUCCAUCAAGUUCCAAGUCAGCUCCUAAAAAGACCGAGACAAAGCCAAGGGAGCCCAAGAAGAAGGCAAAGGCCGGUGCGAAACCAGCAGCUGCCAAACCAUUAGCAAAGAAUUAACAGGAGGGAUGCAGACCUAUGACAGUGUCACAUGGUGGGUAUGUGGUUUCUCGUUUUUAUUACUACUAGUAUCUAUCUAUAUGUAAGUGGCUUGUUGUAAUCACUUUAUGAAAUAAGAAAUAAAGGGUUUGGUUCCUUAUAAGUGCA